UGGGGAAUAUUGCACAAUGGGGGAAACCCUGAUGCAGCGACGCCGCGUGAGCGAAGAAGGCUUUCGAGUCGUAAAGCUCUGUCCUAUGAGAAGAUAAUGACGGUAUCAUAGGAGGAAGCCCUGGCUAAAUACGUGCCAGCAGCCGCGGUAAUACGUAUGGGGCGAGCGUUGUCCGGAAUUAUUGGGCGUAAAGGGUACGUAGGUGGUUUUUUAAGUCAGGUGUCAAAGCGUGGAGCUUAACUCCAUUAAGCACUUGAAACUGAAAGACGUGAGUGAAGGAGAGGAAAGUGGAAUUCCUAGUGUAGCGGUGAAAUGCGUAGAUAUUAGGAGGAAUACCGGUGGCGAAGGCGACUUUCUGGACUUUUACUGACGCUCAGGUACGAAAGCGUGGGGAGCAAACAGG
rnacentral:rRNA from 1 species